UUCGUUGCAAUGACCGGCGAUGACUUGUGGCUAGCGGUGAAAUUCCAAUCGAACUUGGAGAUAGCUGGUUCUCCCCGAAAUAGCUUUAGGGCUAGCGUUGGGAAUGAGUUUAGCGGAGGUAAAGCACUGAAUGAGCUAGGGGGCGCAAGCUUACUGAACUCUAUCAAACUAAGAAUGCCGCAUAAAUGCUUCCCAGCAGUCAGACUGCGAGUAAUAAAAUCCGUGGUCAAAAGGGUAACAGCCCAGACCCACAGCUAAGGUCCCCAAUACAUGCUAAGUGGAAAACGAUGUGAGAUUGCAUAAACAACCAGGAUGUUGGCUUAGAGGCAGCCACUCGUUCAAAGAGUGCGUAAUAGCUCACUGGUCGAGUGAUCUUGCGCGGAAAAUUUAACGGGGCUAAGCAUGUAACCGAAGCUUGGGAUUGCGCAAUGCGCAGUGGUAGGGGAGCGUCGUGUACGGGGUGAAGUACGAUCGAGAGGACGUGUGGACUGUACACGAGUGAGAAUGCCGGAAUGAGUAGCGAGAAUUAUGUGGGAAUCAUAAUGGCCGAAAAUCUAAGGUUUCUUGGGGAAGGUUCGUCCGCCCAAGGUAAGCCGGGAGCUAAGGCGAGGCCGAAAGGCGUAGUCGAUGCACAUACGGUUGAAAUUCCGUAGCCACCUUAUCGAUAAAAGCUGACACAUAGAGAUAGCCGAACCCGGGCGUUGGUUGACCCGGGCGAAAGGGACCGAACUACAGUAGGGAAGUCGGCGAUGCUCUGUGGCGAGAAAAGGCGAAGAUAGGGUGCCCGUACCGCAAACCGACACAGGUAGAUGAGGAGAGAAUCCUAAGGCCAACGGGAGAAGGGUUGUUAAGGAACUCGGCAAAUUGACCCCGUAACUUCGGGAGAAGGGGAGCCGGCCACGGCCGGCCGCAGUGAAUAGGCCCAAGCAACUGUUUACCAAAAACACAGGUCUCUGCUAAAUCGAAAGAUGACGUAUAGGGGCUGACGCCUGCCCGGUGCUGGAAGGUUAAGAGGAGGACUUAGCGCAAGCGAAGGUCUGAAUUUAAGCCCCAGUAAACGGCGGCCGUAACUAUAACGGUCCUAAGGUAGCGAAAUUCCUUGUCAGGUAAGUUCUGACCCGCACGAAUGGCGUAACGAUUUGGGCACUGUCUCAACAGCCCGCCCGGCGAAAUUGUAGUACCGGUGAAGAUGCCGGUUACCCGCAACUAGACGGAAAGACCCCAUGGAGCUUUACUGCAGCUUAAUACUGAGAUUCGGUAAUUCAUGUACAGGAUAGGUGGGAGACUUAGAAACAGGGUCGUCAGGCACUGCGGAGUCACCCUUGGGAUACCACCCUUGGAUUGCUGGGUUUCUAACCUGCGGCCAUGAAUCUGGUCGGGGGACACUGUUAGGCGGGCAGUUUGACUGGGGCGGUCGCCUCCUAAAAAGUAGCGGAGGCGCUCAAAGCUUGGCUCAGCAUGGAUGGAAAUCAUGCAAUGAGUGUAAACGUAUAAGCCAAGUUGACUGCGAGACCGACGGGUCGAGCAGGUACGAAAGUAGGAGUUAGUGAUCCGGUGGUAUGUGAGUGGAAAUGCCAUCGCUCAACGGAUAAAA
rnacentral:rRNA from 1 species